CUGCGGUUAUUCUACUAGUC
rnacentral:siRNA from 1 species